rnacentral:sRNA from 1 species
GUUAUAAGACAUGGCGCUGUUACUUGUGAGCCUUUACAAGUAGUGAACUAGGAAGUUUGUCUCAAUUUCAGACAUUAAUUUUCAUUAUUCAUUUCCCCUUAGGCCAUUCUGUACUUUCACUUUUCUCCUUUAAUGCCUAAAAACGUUUACAAUGACUUACCCAAUAAUUUAAAAUAAUAGUAUAACGCAUUUCUAAAACGAUUUAAGUGUGUCUUUGUUAGCUUCUGAAAGAAGCUGGUGUGUGUUUUUCAAAGUUGUCAUGUUAUAUAUGUGGUCCAUUUGUUCAACUAGAAUAAAAAUGGUCUGAAACAGAAUUAUUUUGCUGUUGGAAAUUACUUUAUUGUGCAGAACUGUUAAAACUAUGUUUUUAGUUUAAAUUGCUAUUUUUAAAAUGUGUUGAAAAAUAUGCAAGUAGAAUGUGAGAUAAUACUUCACUUUAAAAAUGAACAAAUUGAGUAAACCAUCCUCAGACUUAGUCCUAUGAAAUUUUCAAUAACUGAAAUGCAAAAAGGUGGUUGUUUCUGUUGACACUAGGUUUGUAUGAAGCAAAUAGAGGUGGGCAAAAAAAAAAUGAGCUCCAUCUGAGAUAGUAAGAUAACUUUAUUCCCAUACAAUACCUGUGUUUUCAUUACCAAAGUAGCUUAUGUUUUAUAUUAUGAGAUAGACCUUCUAGUAACAGUAUCAAAUUUUUUGCAGAUAAGGUAAUUCUGAUUUAAGUGACACUUUUUUUUUUUUUUAAACUUGGCAGUAUUUGACUACAGUCAUUCCUUAUGAGAAAAAAAAUGGACCACCGUCUGUUGAAGAUCUUCAAAUAUUAACAAAAAGUGAGCAAAGACAAAAUGAAACUAUUAACUGAUUUCCUUUUGCUGAUCGGUAAACACCUGACUUUAGUUGGCUGAUUUUGUUGUUAGUGUUUUGUCAAUUUAGGAUAUAAAUGAUGCAUAUAAUUGUUUAUUUUUAUAAGAAUGAAGCCCAAAAUGGCUGUGACAUUAAAUACAACAGUAACUCUAGUGUUGAUUUGUAGUUUUUCUGUUUUUCUUACCUUGUGAAAUAUUUAUGAGCUAAAAUUUUGGGAAAAAGCAUAACCUAAAUCUCCAUCAUCUCUUAUAUGUUUAAGAACAUAUCCAUUUAUCAUAAAUAAAAUUCUUUAUGGAUCUUAUAUAUCUGUGACUGUCAGUAAUUGAAUAGGAAAGAUUUAGGGUAAACACUUUUUAUUUCUUAUGAAUGUAGAACCCGAAGGAGUAGUUAUAGGUAGAACAUAAAUUGACAGUGAUGUUUUAAGAACAUGCAUUCAUUCAGCAAAUAUUUGGUGAAGGCCUACUCUGUACCAGGCCAUGAUCUGGGCACUUGGGAUACUUUAGUGAACAAAGCAGACAAAGAUAAUGCACCUUCAAGGGUCUUGCCUUAAAAAAAAUUGUUAGAUUUAAAUAUACAUGAUAUUGAGUAUCUCUUAUGAUGGCCGCAAAUGAGCCCUGAAUUCUGGUUCUAUCCCUGUUAUUUUCAGGGAUAUCCUUGGAAGUUACUUACUCUCUUUUGCUCACAUUGAAAAACUAGGAUAAAAAAUAUUUGUUCUAUUUACCUCACAGUAAAUAGAUUAAUAUAUGUAUGAUUUUGGCUAAGUUACUAUCAAUUAGCCGUUAAAAUGGAGGGAUUGAAUUUGCUGAUCUGUUAGGUCUUCGUUAUGGUAAAUAUUUAUGAUACUUGCUAAUUAGGGGGGAACCAAAUGAAAGAGCAUCACAUGGAUGAGUAUGGAUGAUGAUAUUUAUUUUGGAAAUUUAAGAGGAAUGGGCAAGGAAAACCUAAGAGUAGAAGCAAGUGUCUUAUUUCUUAGCUCCCUGCCUGCUAACUUGGAGCUUUUAUUCUUUCCUUUGGUGAAUAAUUCUUUAAAAAGUUUUAUAUUUAAAUAUGGAUAAAUCAAGUGAUGCCAGCCAGUCUGAAAUAAAAAAUCAAGAGAUUAACUGGGUAGCUAGCCCUCUUAUUUUCAGGAGGAACUUAUGAAGUUAUGCGUGUCCAAGAUCACACAGGGGGAUGGUUAAUUACAGAGCUGGGUCUCUUAAUUCCCAGGAAAUUAUACUUUUAAUGAUGCUGGUUUUUGGUAUGUGAUUUUAUAUAGAAGUUAGAAAAAAUUUUAAACAUGAUUGGAAGCAGAAAUAGUGAACAUGGUAGCCGUCUAAAGAAGGGAACAUAAAUAAAUAUUGCUCAUAAGCCAGGAAUUACUGGCAGGCCUCAGCUUCUCAGAUCAAGAACAAAUACUUUGUUGGUCAAACUAAAGUCAUCAUAAUUCCAGCAUUGAGAUGUCUUUAUAGGUUGUCACAGUUUGGAAUCUUUGGACAUAUGGGUCCAAAGCUCCUUUUCUUUCCAAAAGAACAGCGCUGUGGAGACAGUCACAGUGUUUAUGGAUAUAUAGUCUUCCUCAUAAAAGCUAUUAGGGGAUUCUGGGUGCAAUAAUAAUAGUAAUAAAAAUUUAAAUAAAUAUUAGUAGUGUUAGUUACAGUUAAUACAUAGCAUGUACUAUGUGCCAGGCACUAUGAUAUGACCUUUAUAUCUGAAUUAGUAGCUUAGUCCUCAUAACAAACCUUUGAGAUUAAAUCUAAUUAUUAUUCUCAUUUCACAGAUGAAGAGCUUGGUGCAAAAGUGGUUAAGUAGCUUGCCCAGCGUCACACAAUUAGGAAGUGGCAGAGCCAGGGUUUAAACCCAGGAAGGCUGAUUUGACAGUUACACUAUUUUGCCUUGUCGUAUUGGUGGGGAAAAACAGUGAAAUAUUUUUACCAGGAUGCUUUGGAGAAAAUUUGAGUUGGCAAUCUCUGUUAAAGUAUAAUAUUUGUGAGUUUAUCUCAACCUGAAUGGUCUAGCUUAAAAAAGAAAAACGUUACACUAGGUGGCUGUUUUUUCUAUUUUAGUUUUUACUUAGAAGAUACAUUUGUCAAAUUAGAAUGAGGCUAAUUCUCCCAGGUUUCUCCCUAGUGCAGAGGAGGUGACAGCCAGGCAGAUGCCAGGUGCUGCUUCAUGGAAGUCUGUUCUUCAUUUGGGUCUUUUCUUUGAAAGUUUCUAAGGAGUCUGACAGAUAUGCUUGUUGGAGGGUAUAGCUGUCCAUUUCUCUAAGAGUUUCUCUAGUUUGCUUGAUCUACAGCACUGAGGUUUUCUUGCUGCACAGAGUUCAUUGAGGUGCACAUUACAGUAACCCACUUUCCAGUAUUAUUACAGAGCGAAGGCUCCUUGUAAAUAACCCAGUUCCUCUUUUUUGCCUCCACUGUUUGGAAAUUUUAAAUCAGGGAAGCCACUCUCAGGUAAGUGGGAUAUUCUUACCUAAAAUAAAUUCUUGUGGACUUACUCCACUAAAAUAAAUUAUUGGGCCUUUAUUGUUGUAUCCCCUUAUCAGGAAAAUCACCUAUAAUUUGUAUGAGUCAGUUAUAUCCUAUAAUUAAGGAAGAUUAAGGCCACAAUGAUUGAAAUUAAAUAAUAUUUUUGGUCUAAAUUUUUAACUGUCUUUUUUCCCUCUUCUAUUUUGCAGUUCUUUGUGCCAUGAAGGAGGACAGUGAAAAAGUUCCGAGCUUGUUAACUGAUUAUAUUCUGAAAGUUCUGUGUCCUACAUAGAGCAGCAACUUUAUCUGCGGUGGGCUCCAAGCUAGAUUUCCUACAGCAUUAUUCUGAAAGCUGGCUACCGUUACCCUUCUUGCUAUUGGAAACUCAGCACAUUUGAACUUGGGUUUGAUUCAGUAUUAACAGAUCUUGACUACACUAAUUCUUUAUAUUAUAGAACCAACGGAAAUAUGGGCACUAUUUUGAAUUCUAGAGAUGGUUUUUGUUAAAUCUACUAAUAAACUGUUCUCUUAGUAGACUGAGAGAGAGUAAUAUUAAUUGUGCAUGUGCAGUUCUAUUUCUCAUUAACUGACAGUAUGCCCAUUUGUGUUUACGGCUUUCUUAUCUGAACUGCACUGAUGAGCUAGAUUAAAGGCUUGGGAGAUUUCUACUAUGAAUUCAGUGACGGCAACAACCAACACUGUGUUUUGUGAGAAUUGUCAGUAUAACUAUUACCUGCCAGUAUUGUUCAGAGAGACUGAAACAGAAUAAACUUGGGCUGUUCUUGAAGAAGCAAAACCAAAUAUGCAUUACUUUGGUUUAAUACUUUAACAUUGAAACUGUUGGUGAUGAUGGAUUUUGUAGCUUGCUGCUUGUUUCACCAUUGGUCAAAUUUUAACCAUUAAAUUGCCAUUCACUUUUAGAAUCUUGUAUUGUUUAACUUUUGAUUUUCAAAUGUUCUGCUUCAUGUGUCUGUGAAGAAUUGUACUUUAAAAGUUUGUGUCCUCUGAGGUGCUUGAGAAAGUGUACACUGCAGAACUGCCCAUUCUCAUUACUGUGUCAUAUUUUAUUCAUACCUGUGUGUUUUUCUUAAGUAUGAAUUCUAGAUACAGCUACUUAUGGAUUCAUCAGUAUCAUGAGCACUUUUGCUGGUUCCAAUCAAAUCAACGGCAUUUAAUAAAUUUUUUAAGAAGUAAAAA